rnacentral:lncRNA from 1 species
ACCUUGCCUUAGGAUGUGACGUAUGAAAAAGGGAUGAAAGAUGUCCCUUGAUCAGAAUCAAAGGUCCUUCUGCCAAGGUGAGUAAUGCCUGUGCAGAAGCCCUUUCCAGAGAACCAAGUGGAGUCUGGAGUGUUAAGGAUGUGCCGGGAAGCAGCCAGAUGAGGGUGUCAAGCCAGGACGUUGUCUCUGAUGGUGGCACACUGGAUCCAGGGCUCCUGAGUGGCCAGUCCAAAGCCUUUGGACAGGUCUGACACUGCCACCCACCCACACAGCCUGCAGAGAGUCAAGGAAGGCAGCAUGGGGACCAGCUCCUUGUUGGUCCCUUCCAUGCCCAGGCUCUGUCUCCCAGAAGCAUCCUCAGAUGCAGCUGACAGCCUCUAAGGUUAAGGGGUCUAGAUGUAGGUUCACUAUGUACUGGAGGAAGUGGCUCUUUGGUUCCAGCCUGGCAGCUGUCCCAUAGCCACACUGUGUGUCAGGUGUGGCUCAUCUUCACUUAAAAACAUGGCCUCCCUCAGUUCUUCACUGUCUCUGGACCUCUUCUGUAGGUAGCCACACUUUCAGAAAGGACAGCUGACAGCAGACUUGAGUUUUCUUCUUGUUCUAACUCUAUGACCCUAUCAGUGCACUAUGACCCUAUCACAACCUGUGGGUCGCAACCCUUUUGGAGUCCAACAUCUUUCACAGGGG